rnacentral:rRNA from 1 species
CUUAGAAGUGUGGACGCCAGUCUGCAUGGAGCCGACCUUGAAAUACCACCCUUUAAUGUUUGAUGUUCUAACGUUGACCCGUAAUCCGGGUUGCGGACAGUGUCUGGUGGGUAGUUUGACUGGGGCGGUCUCCUCCUAAAGAGUAACGGAGGAGCACGAAGGUUGGCUAAUCCUGGUCGGACAUCAGGAGGUUAGUGCAAUGGCAUAAGCCAGCUUGACUGCGAGCGUGACGGCGCGAGCAGGUGCGAAAGCAGGUCAUAGUGAUCCGGUGGUUCUGAAUGGAAGGGCCAUCGCUCAACGGAUAAAAGGUACUCCGGGGAUAACAGGCUGAUACCGCCCAAGAGUUCAUAUCGACGGCGGUGUUUGGCACCUCGAUGUCGGCUCAUCACAUCCUGGGGCUGAAGUAGGUCCCAAGGGUAUGGCUGUUCGCCAUUUAAAGUGGUACGCGAGCUGGGUUUAGAACGUCGUGAGACAGUUCGGUCCCUAUCUGCC